AACCAAAUUAUUUAUGGGUCCAAUGUCCAUUUACAAAUUUCUAGGCCUAAACCAAACUAAACCCAAACAUUAAACCUAGCACAAAUCCAAAUUUAUCCCAAACUUUUAACCCAUCUAAAAUAAACCUAAUUUGACCCAAUCCUAGCCCAAACCCAAAGGAUAAGAACAAACUAAUUGAUCAGUAUUGCUUAAGAACAAACCCAAGGCCUAAUUUGCAAGGUAUAGAUCGGAAGAAAGCGAGGCAAGUUUGAAUCAUGGCGCGUUUCGUGUUGUCAAUAGUGCUUCAGUUUAGCAAAUGCAGUUGUGGGACCUAAUCUUUUGUGAACUGUAUGCAUGGGCACUAACCAUAUGCUAUGUGAUUUUGUGAUUUGCGAAUCCUCUGCGAACCUUUUUUUCUUAUACGAAUAUGAAUGCGAAUCCUUUACGAACGCCUCUGCAAACCUCUUGUCUUAUGUGAUAUGUUUGUAACCUCUGCGAACCUCUUAUGUUAUGCGAAUUUGUUUGCAACCCUGUAUGUGUCUAUGUGUGAACUUCUAAAUUAGUGUUUAGUGAACCGAGUGUGCUUUACUGCUAGAAUUGUGUUCUGUGAACUGUAUACAUGUGUACUGUAUUGAGAUUAUCUAUAGUGGGGAUACUUUUCCCCGAAACCCUUGUUCUUUUUGUGUCUCCCCUUCUAUUCAUUUACAACUCGUUGCUUGAGUUUCUUUCUUCCUUCUGCUGAUUUUGUUCCUCCAUUGUUGAACGUUUUGGCUACGCAAGGAUCUCAUUGUUGCAUCAUUUUGCUCACUGGCAGUGUAAAUUUGUGGUGAUCUAAUCAAAUUUUUCUCUCCUUCUUUAAUUCUCUGGUGGUCGAAUUCUUCAUGUGUACUUUGCGCCUGCAAGGUAUAGAUCGGGAAGAAAGCAAGGCAAGUUUGAAUCGUGGCGCGUUUUGUGUUAUCAAUAGUGCUUUAGUUUAGCAAAUUCAGGUGUGGGAUUUAAUCUUUUGUGAACAGUAUGCAUGGGCACUAACCAAUGGCCCAAUUCUAAAAUGAGCCAAAUGGCCCAAUCUUCAAACGAGCCCAAAUGGCCCAAAUUUUGGUUUCAGAAACUGAAACCCUAGGACCAGCGCUGCAGCUUCCUCAGCAAGGGUCCCCAGCGCAUCUCCAUGUUACCCCACGAACGGCCUCUUCCUCCGUACGGCCAUCUCUACGUCAGUCGAACCUGCGAGAAAAAAAGAGAAACAGACUACAACAAGCCAACGGUAGAAAAAUAAAAAUUUGUAUUUUUAAUUUAUGAUCUCUAUUCGGCUAUAAAAGGAGGCCGAUUGUAUACUAUAAAAGAUUACUUACGCAUACUAAAUAGAAAUAAAAAAAGCAACCAAAAAGAAUUAUUGGAAGGUGAUCUCGGUUUCCAUUUCUUUUCUUUUCAGUUUGUUUUUUCUCUUUGGUCUUUUAUGUAGUUCUUUUGCAUGAGAAAAUAAAAAAAGAAGGUGAGGGGUUUACCUCUAAAAAUGUGCCAUCGGAGUCCUUAUCUCCUUCGUCAAAAUCGGAGUUUGAGAUGGGAUUUUGGGGCUGAAAUUAGCAAUCCUCGAGUCUUGGUUUUAAACGGGGAUAAAAAGGGCCUUCGUACGUCACCACCCACCGACUGCAGUGGUGAAAUGGUGGUCGGACGGUCGGACGGCGGGUUUUUCGGAUCAGCCGAAUCGGAG
rnacentral:lncRNA from 1 species